AAAUGAAUUGACGGGACCCCGCACAAGCGGUGGAUCAUGUUGUUUAAUUCGAAGAUACGCGAAGAACCUUACCAGGUCUUGACAUCCCCUGCAAUACUAUAGAGAUAUAGUGGAGGUUACCAGGGUGACAGGUGGUGCAUGGUUGUCGUCAGCUCGUGUCGUGAGAUGUUCGGUUAAGUCCGGUAACGAGCGCAACCCUCGUUGUUAGUUGCCAUCAUUAAGUUGGGGACUCUAGCAAGACUGCCAGUGAUAAACUGGAGGAAGGUGGGGAUGACGUCAAAUCAUCAUGCCCCUUAUGACCUGGGCUACAAACGUGAUACAAUGGCUGGAACAAAGGGAUGCGAAGCAGUGAUGCGGAGCGAAACCCAGAAAAACAGUCUCAGUUCGGAUUGAAGUCUGCAACUCGACUUCAUGAAGUUGGAAUCGCUAGUAAUCGUGGAUCAGAACGCCACGGUGAAUACGUUCUCGGGGUUUGUACACACCGCCCGU
rnacentral:rRNA from 1 species